rnacentral:rRNA from 1 species
CCUACGGGGGGCAGCAAUUGGGAAUCUUGCGCAAUGGGCGAAAGCCUGACGCAGCGACGCCGCGUGACUGAUGAAGUCUUUCGGGAUGUAAAGGUCUUUUUUGGGGGAAGAAGGAUGUGACGGUACCCCAAGAAUAAGCCCCGGCUAACUACGUGCCAGCAGCCGCGGUAAUACGUAGGGGGCGAGCGUUGUCCGAAUUCACUGGGCGUAAAGCGCGCGUAGGCGGACUUUUAAGUUGGGGGUGAAAUGCCGAGGCUCAACCUCGGAACGGCCUUCAAAACUGGGAGGCUUGAGGUAUGGAGAGGGAAGUGGAAUUCCAGGUGUAGCGGUGAAAUGCGUAGAUAUCGGGAGGAACACCCGUGGCGAAGGCGGCUUCCUGGCCAUAUCCUGACGCUGAGGUGCGAAAGCUAGGGGAGCGAACG